rnacentral:rRNA from 1 species
CCCCAGACUCCUACGGGAGGCAGCAGUGGGGAAUAUUGCACAAUGGGGGAAACCCUGAUGCAGCGACGCCGCGUGAGUGAAGAAGUAUUUCGGUAUGUAAAGCUCUAUCAGCAGGGAAGAAAAUGACGGUACCUGACUAAGAAGCCCCGGCUAACUACGUGCCAGCAGCCGCGGUAAUACGUAGGGGGCAAGCGUUAUCCGGAUUUACUGGGUGUAAAGGGAGCGUAGACGGCAUGGCAAGUCAGAUGUGAAAGCCCGGGGCUCAACCCCGGGACUGCAUUUGAAACUGUCAGGCUGGAGUGCAGGAGAGGUAAGUGGAAUUCCUAGUGUAGCGGUGAAAUGCGUAGAUAUUAGGAGGAACACCAGUGGCGAAGGCGGCUUACUGGACUGUAACUGACACUGAGGCUCGAAAGCGUGGGGAGCAAACAGGAUUAGAUACCCCGGUA